rnacentral:tRNA from 1 species
CAGGGAGACAACAAAAUGUUUAAUAUUAUUUUGUCACCUUAGGUCGAUCGGUAUCUCAUGUUCUUAAUUAAUUAAGAAUUUCAUUUCCUAAGUUUUUCUAGGUCACACCCAUUAUUUUUCCUGGGCCAUUAGCUCAGGUGGUUAGAGCGCACCCCUGAUAAGGGUGAGGUCCCUGGUUCAAGUCCAGGAUGGCCCAUAUCUCUAUGUUGGGGGUAUAGCUCAGUUGGUAGAGCGCCUGCUUUGCAAGCAGGAUGUCAGCGGUUCGAGUCCGCUUACCUCCACUGAUUACCACCUCUUCCAUAAUCUGUAGAAAGGAAAUGUUUUGAGUGUGAUCAAAUUCUGAACGAAUCUAGCUUCCUAAUGAAAGUAUUAAGAUGCUGGACUCAUUGAAUAAAUUCAUUGUUUUCAGAGAACCUUGACAACUGCAUAGAUUAUUUUUUUAAAGACAAUAAGCAUCUUUAAUGAUGCAGAUUUAUUAUUUGUGCUAAUGCAUUAAUAACAAUUCUAUUAAGCUGAUGCUUCAAUUUUGAAGUUAUU